CCUACGGGAGGCAGCAGUAGGGAAUCUUCCGCAAUGGACGAAAGUCUGACGGAGCAACGCCGCGUGAGUGAUGAAGGUUUUCGGAUCGUAAAACUCUGUUGUUAGGGAAGAACAAGUACGAGAGUAACUGCUCGUACCUUGACGGUACCUAACCAGAAAGCCACGGCUAACUACGUGCCAGCAGCCGCGGUAAUACGUAGGUGGCAAGCGUUGUCCGGAAUUAUUGGGCGUAAAGCGCGCGCAGGCGGUCCUUUAAGUCUGAUGUGAAAGCCCACGGCUCAACCGUGGAGGGUCAUUGGAAACUGGGGGACUUGAGUGCAGGAGAGAAGAGUGGAAUUCCACGUGUAGCGGUGAAAUGCGUAGAGAUGUGGAGGAACACCAGUGGCGAAGGCGACUCUUUGUCCUGUAACUGACGCUGAGGCGCGAAAGCGUGGGGAGCAAACACGAUUAGAUACCCUGGUAGUCCACGCCGUAAACGAUGAGUGCUAAGUGUUAGAGGGUUUCCGCCCUUUAGUGCUGCAGUAAACGCAUUAAGCACU
rnacentral:rRNA from 1 species